rnacentral:rRNA from 1 species
GACAGAGGCCUCAAGCGUUAGGCGGAAUCACUGGGCUUAAAGCGCAUGUAGGCGGCAGCGCAAGUCGGGCGUGAAAUCCCACGGCUCAACCGUGGAAGUGCACUCGAAACUGCGCAGCUAGAGUCCUGGAGAGGAAGGUGGAAUGCUUGGUGUAGAGGUGAAAUUCGUAGAUAUCAAGCGGAACACCGGUGGCGAAGGCGGCCUUCUGGACAGUGACUGACGCUGAGAUGCGAAAGCGUGGGGAGCAAACAGG